rnacentral:piRNA from 1 species
UCUGCUCUUUAGGAAGCCAGAGGCUCCAGA